AUCACAUUUAAGCUGCCUGCUUUCAAACAGGCUACCAUCUGCCCAGAUUUCUUUCUUUCUUUUUUUGUAGAACAAAACAGUCAUAUGUAAUGUGUUCCAACAUCAUAAAUCUUUCUUAUUUGCCUUUAUACAACAGCCUCAGCACCCUAAGGUAUAAAAUUCAACUGUUUAGUCAGCUGUUUCACAACUUCCUAAGAAAAGUUGCCAAUUUCUCAGCUAGAUAAAUUAGUUGGGUUCUUGUUUAUUUACCUUCCCUUAUUUGCCAUAACUCCUCUUCCUUCAUUGUAUUUUGUACUUGUAGGAUCCUUGGUUGCAAAUAACAGCAAAAACAUGGCUACUUCAAGCUGCAAUUGAAUCUACUGAAAGUCUAUCUAGGCUGCCAGAAUCUAUGGGAAAGCUGGAAAAACAACUUGGGCAGAAACCAUGACAGGAGCAUGGAUGGAGCUGGAGGAUAUCAUCCUUAGCAAACUAAUGGAGGAACAGAAAACCAAAUACCACAUGUUCUCACUUACAAGUGAGAGCCAGAUGAGAACUUAUGAACACAAAGAAGGAAACAACAGACACUGGGGUCUACAUGAAGGAGGGUCUUGCUCUGUCACACAGGCUAUAGUGCUGUGGCAUAAUCAUAGCUCAAUGCAACCUCAAACUUCUGGGCUCAAGCAAUCCUCCCACAUCAACUUCCUGAGUAGCUGGGAUUACAGACAUGAAUCAACUGCAGGCUUCAGUUCAUUUCCAGUAGGAUAUCCAAGUUACACUCACUCCACUGAACCUUCUCCAGGCCAGAUGUUUGAAGACUUUUCAGUCCUCUGGAUGAAAACUAUCCUUUAUCUUCUUGAUUUAUAACAGCCUUUCAUUUGAUGAUCAAACAAAGCCACUAAUAAUUCUGUUACAGAUGUCUUAGAAAGUCCUUAGGAGAAUAUUUAUAUCCGUAGGCUCUUGGCCUUCAGUUCUGCCUUACUCUAUCAGCAGCGCAGGUGUUAGUGCACUGAGAACUUUCUUCCAUGUUGGAGUAUUAUUACAUAUUGUCCUUAUCCUUAGUCUUUUUAAGAUCAGGCCUCUGCAGGGUGAUGGCUGAAGUGGUAGUCACCUAGGGUGAAAUGCCACAGGGACUGCAUCAAGCCACUCCUGUAACUUGGCCCUAUCAAGUCCUGUGAUUCUUCCAUUGUCACACUGUGGUAUUAGGAAAAGUUUUGCUUUACCUACUCAAUCCAGUAAGGAGGUUUGGAAAGUGUGAUCCUUGUGUGGUAAGAAAUAAAAUGACUGUAUAUUAGUUAAAAUCUGUACUUUCUCUCAGAAGAAAGAUAAAAGGGACAUAUUUUCUUUAAAAUGAGAAAAGUUGUUAGAGGACUCAGUAAGAGUGAAGUGGCUGGAGCAUUCAGAGGAAUUCACAUUUAGAAAUAUAACUUGCUAUUUCUACUUGAUUUUAUCCCCUGGCUAUAAGACUAGCACCUCACAAAGCAAUUGCUUCAGCCUUCUUCAAUGUAAAAUCACACGGCUUAGAGUCCAUGCAGCAAUUGAUUGAAAAACACUUGGUUUGAUUUUGGAUAAAGCCACAGAUCACUAGGUAUUUGUUACUGUAAAAAUAAAAGAUGGUUAUAUUACUUAUAACUGUAAAGAAUAAAAUGCAUGUAAUUUUGAUAGGACAGGAAACCUUCACACUCAAGAAUAGUUUUCUUAUCCAUAGUCAGGUGCCUGAAGAAAAGAUGUUAAUAUUUUUUCUCUUCUAUGGUUGAAGACCUUAUAUAAAAACAUCUAUGGAAGUAAUUAAGCCAUUCUUUCUAAGUGGGGAACUAGCUCUUUAAAAAUUACUCAAGGUGCUUGUUAAAAUGUUAAUUUGUUACCAAGAUCUUCUGAAUCAG
ensembl:lncRNA